rnacentral:lncRNA from 1 species
UUUUUGGUCAGGCCUGAGAAUAUCAUCAUUAAACAAGCUUUGGUUCUGUGCUCUCCCCAUUUCAGUCUAAGAGCACCUAGUACUUAACUUUCCAGUUAAUUGUACAGCUUCUUCUAGAGAUAAACUCCCUCCUGGAAAGUGAAGAGCUUUCACUUUCCAAGUGGAAGAGCUGGGGCAUCCGCAACCCAGCAGUGAGAUUAUACAGAAAGUGCUUGUUAUGUAUUGCAGAAAAGAGGAAAAGAAAAUCCAUAAAACAUUAAAAAAACAAGAAAAUCCUGCUCAUUGAGAGUGAGUUGUUAACUGUAAUUAAGAACGGGCAUAGCCUUUUUCAGAUGGAAAUGCCAGUUUAAAGUUAAGCUACUCCAAAAUUAUAUAUGUGAUCACCACGGCUGGUUCAGAAGAAGGGCCUGAAACUGUGUAGAGUCUUACAGAGGAAAAUACAGAUGUUUUGUAAGCAGCAGAAUGAAUGGGAUUCAGUUUUUAUGAAGUUGUCUUCUGCAAUUCAAUUUUAUGUCUAAUGUGAGACGAAUGCAUGGGAACAUAAAAACACCUCCACAGGGAUUCCUUCAGGUCUUUCUACAACCUUUCCCUCAGCAUGUACAGGCUCUACUUAAUCUGUAACUGAACUCUGCAUUUUUACAUAAUUUUUAAUGAACUUGGCAUCUUUGAGUCCUCAGAUCAGCUGGCUUCAAAAUACAGUAUUGGAGAGUAGGCAGAAAUACAUACAGGCUGUGAGAUGACCUAAGGUUAGCUUCCCCCCCCUGCUUUUUAAAUCAGGCUAAAGCAAUGCAAGAGCAAACAUUUUCUACUUCACCAUUCCUCAAGAAUUUCACAACAUUUAAACUGCUCCCAAGAGGUAUAAGAGGUCAUCAGACAAUGUUCAACACAGGUCAGUUUGACACUGGCCCUGAUGGAAUAGAUAGAAGUUGGGAUUCUUCCCUAGACCACUACAUUUCUCUGCCUGGGUGAGAUGUGUGCUCAAAGCUCUGCCUCCCUCUCUGCUCCUUUUGCCUUCAGCAGCCCUUCUCCUGGGAAGGUCACCAGAGGCAAGCCUUUUGACAGCCUCCAACUUUUGGAUUGUGAAAUACAGCAAAACCACAACCAAAACCAUGCCGAUGAUCUCAGGGCAAUGGCAGUUUCAGGCAUAGCUUACACUAAGAAAACUUGGCUUGCCUUAAGACUAAGACAGUCUUAAUCUGCUGAGAAAAGACCUUCACUUCCUUUCACAUCUGCUCUGUGCAAAUUAGAUGAGCACACGUCUGCCUUCACUGCCUGUGACAAUGGCUGGAACAAACCUUCAUCACAAUGCGCUGAAUACGGUCUGGUCUUAAGGUGAAGUGAAACAUGAUUUUGGACUUAAUGAAACUGUUUAGCGUGAAGAAAGAACCCAAAUC